rnacentral:rRNA from 1 species
GACGAACGCUGGCGGCGUGCUUAACACAUGCAAGUCGAACGGAAAGGCCCUGCUUUUGUGGGGUGCUCGAGUGGCGAACGGGUGAGUAACACGUGAGUAACCUGCCCUUGACUUUGGGAUAACUUCAGGAAACUGGGGCUAAUACCGGAUAGGAGCUCCUGCUGCAUGGUGGGGGUUGGAAAGUUUCGGCGGUUGGGGAUGGACUCGCGGCUUAUCAGCUUGUUGGUGGGGUAGUGGCUUACCAAGGCUUUGACGGGUAGCCGGCCUGAGAGGGUGACCGGCCACAUUGGGAAUGAGAUACGGCCCAGACUCCUACGGGAGGCAGCAGUGGGGAAUAUUGCACAAGGGGCGGAAGCCUGAUGCAGCAACGCCGCGUGCGGGAUGACGGCCUUCGGGUUGUAAACCGCUUUCGCCUGUGACGAAGCGUGAGUGAAGGUAAUGGGUAAAGAAGCACCGGCUAACUACGUG